AGGUUCGUUUAUACCAGCACUGAUGCACCGGAUCCCAUCAGAACUCCACAGUUAAGCGUGCUAGGGCGAGAGUAGUACUAUGAUGGGUGACCUCCUGGGAAGUCAUUGUGUUGAUGUCU
rnacentral:rRNA from 2 species